UCUAGAACUCGAGAUAUGGGCUGAACAUUGAAGAGUAUCUGGGCUGCAGGGCAAAUUCUGACUUCUCUUUUAUUGCUACAAUUUGAACUUGAAAACAACCCUUUUGAAUCUUGGACUCUUCAUGAAAGUUUUAAGCCUAUGUCUUAGCUUUCUAUC
rfam:Populus trichocarpa scaffold_5_contig_332, whole genome shotgun sequence.